CACAUUUGUUGUAUUAGUUUUAGGCAUACAUUGUAGUCAUUCCAUAUGUCUAUAAAUUAUGUUGUACUUCAGCACAAGUGUAGCUAUCCUGUGAAAGCAUGCAACAAUAUUAUUACAGGAUUGACUCUAUUCCAUUGGCUGUCUCUUGUAUCCCUGGGACUCAUUCGUUCCAUAGCUGGAAGCAGUUAUCUCUCUCUCAAAGGUGUCAAUUCUUUAUCUAACCUAAAUACUCUGGUGGUAAACACAAUUACUUGCUCAGCAUGUGUAAAUUGGCGGUCUAUUUUGCUGUGGACAUUGCUUAAAACAUUACAAAUGAUGUCAUUGUGUUAAUAAGUUCUGUUUCAUUCUUCACUCAAAUAAAAAAGGAGAAGGAAAAGAUUUCUUUGUGUCCCAGGCCCUGUCACUAAGACCCUUCCCAUUGUGGAGAACAGGCGGAGUUGCCCAGAGCACCUUCAGUCCCUCAGCUGAGCGACCAGGGCCUUCAACAUUGCAGGAAUUCCCAGGGUAGCCAGCAGAGAGAGCUCAAGCACCACAGACCCGGAGGGGCGGGCUGCUCUGCCUAGGCAGUGAUGGCCAGCAGAGGGCGCACUAUUGGCUUUUCUGACCCAGGGCACUUCAGAGCAGGAAGGGCUGCUGCUGCUCCCAGAGGACACAGGGCCUCUACUGCUGUCUCAGGACAGAGAGCAGAGCUGUGUUUCCAGCGGGUUCUGCCACCCGCCCCAGGGGAGACCUUGGGAGCUUUGCAGCAACUUGGCAUCUCCUGAGUCGCCAGAGAGAAGCUGCCUUGUUGUACUGAGUGCUGAGGAGGGGGCCCUGGGUGGCUUCCCUGGGCAUGAUGGUUGCUAAACAGCAUAGGCCCUUGCAUUUUCUGGGUUGUUCCUGUGUUUAAUUCCUCAACUUCCUGGACAGUAUUUGAACAAGUCGUAUUUUACUAAAGGACUCGUGGAUUGUGGGGUUCCACGACUUCACCUCAUAGAUGCAGCCAAUGGUUUGUUCCAGAUUCAGGCUUGUUUCCGGUAAGAAACGCUGACAGAAAUUCAGAAGAACGGGAGCUGCAUUCCAUUAGGACUUGAAUACACGAAAUGUUCGUCUCAGGACCUUCUAGAAGAAUGAGCUGGGACCCACUUUCCGAGUCCUGCUGGAACCAGUGACCGAGAUAUUGCCCAGGUGGCUGAGGCCUGCACUAGGGUACCUACCUCCUUUUCGGAUAGACUGUAUUCCCUUUCCAUGUUUUAGCUGUACCUGUGACACAGGACACGAGAGAAUGUGCUCAUGUGAAUACAAGUGAAGGACACCGUGGGGACUUGCCACACAGAUAUUUGUGCCCAGGGCACACCUGAAGGGACUCUGGACAGCAUGUUUACCAAAAUGCUGAUGGGUAUGAAAUUUACAUUCUAAAGGACACAUACAAAAAUAUAAAUUGGAGUGAAGGCAGUUCGCAUUUUCAAAUUGUAACGAUACCCACAGAUUUUUCUGAGUACGUUAAAAUCCUCAAUAGAAGGAAACAGGAGAGGAAGACACAGCAAGAGCAAAGAUUCCACAUUGAGGAGAUCCACAAAGAAUGAGGCAAGAGACGCCUGUACCAACCCAUGGUGGGGGAAAAGACGAAGAUGAGAUCCUGAGCAACUUGAGGAUUGUGGUAAUGGCAGCAGACACAUUCCCCUUGCAUCACAAUGGUCUGUGGUACCGCCUCUGCACCUUGGCCCAGGACCUAACAGCAACAAAAUAAGGAUCCAAGAGAGUAGCAUCAGUACCUGAAAACUCUGUCCCUGCCACUGGAUAGCACCUACAGCUUGGGGUAGUAGAUGCAAGAGGUUAACCUACUGCCACCACACAUCACUGCCCACGUCUGUGGAAGAAAAUGGCAAUGGUCCUGUCCUAACGGGUUAACAGAAGUAAUUACAGAUUAAUGAAGUAGCAUUCUCCAGACAGGCAGCCAUCGAUGUCCAGGUUCACCCUGCAUCCCUCCUCUACGCCAACUCCAGAUGCUCUGCUUUUGCUAUAUUAAGAACACACAAAAAAUGAGUGGGAACAAAUGGCUCAUAUUCUGCUCAUGGAAUCACAGCCACUCCUGGCAAAAUAUUCUGCAGCCGGACCCUCACUGUGCCUCCUCUGCUCCUCUCCCUGAGAAAGGAGUCUUCCCUCUUGAAGUGUUGUCAAAGGCCUCGGAGACCUGUGGGCAGUGGAGGAUGCCUGGAAUCUUGCAGGGGAAGGAGAGUCUUCUGUGAAGAACGAGUUACUUGUGGUGAAUGUCUACAAAGCUCAGAUGUGUUCAUCUUAAUUCAUAGGGAAUUCUGACUUUAAGCAUACGACAGGACACAGAGUCAUUAUGUGCAAUGGAAAAAAAGAGGGAGAAUUUCACAUAACAGAUUUCACGCAAGUGUUUUGGUAUAAAACUGGUAUGUGUCAUGAGACUAUAUCAGCUCUAACAGUGACUGGGGACACAACCAGCAACUGCUCAUAGAAACACAAUUGAAGGACACAGUGUGCAAAUUGUUUUUACCUAAGGUAUAGCUGGAGGAUUCCAGACAAGUCAUUUACCGACAAAGACGGACAGGUGAUGAGUGAUGAUAUUGGCUUUCUCUGUGACCACUCUAAAUGGCACAGGGCACAUAAUAGAAAGUUGGAGUCAUGAUGUCGUUUCUAACAGGUUCAUCUCCUAGCCAGAAUCAAGAAAGGAAGACACAGCAGCCACACUGUUCCCACAGAGGUGAGGUCUGGAAAGGAUCACCCAGGCCGGGAGACAUCUGUUUGGAGUGUGCAGUCAUCCUCCUCUCAUUAUUUCCUGAACCUCACGGAAAAACCUUAAGACCACACAGGAACAGGCUGCACAGCAGAAAUUGGACUGCAGCACAUCACAACGUGCUCCUUACCUCGCCUUGGAGGGUUCUUGCAGUGAUUGGUUUCUGCCUCGUGUAUCCCUCAGGCAGCCUCUUUGCUUCCAUCCCGUCCAGUCUUGGAUACAGAAAAAUAAUGGACUUCUAUAAGAGUUGCAACACCACGUCGUCUACUAGACAACUAACAGUGCAGGCGUCAUCCCUGGAAACACCCAAGUCAAAUGACCACACCUGUAUUUCAAGGUUGCAAAGACGAGGGCCAUGAAAUGGCACUACCACGUUGAUGGGUAUGAUUCAUUGUACGACACACUGCUUUCCUACAGAUGACGACAAUUGACACCACCCCCGAGGAAUGUUAGCAUGGACAAAGUUUCCACACAGUCUGGUCACUACUUGAGAUCUGCAAAUGUUUAGAAACUUAAUUAUUUUAUUCUUUCUAAAACUUACCUUUUUUAUCUGUUAAUACUCUAUGCAUAUGUUGACUUUAAACUUUUCAAAAAGAUUAAAAACCAAAAAAUGAA